rnacentral:rRNA from 1 species
GGCUCAGAAUGAACGUUGGCGGCGUGGAUUAGGCAUGCAAGUCGAGCGAGAAGUGUAGCAAUACACGGAAAGCGGCGAAAGGGAGAGUAAUGCGUAGGUACCUACCCCCGGGACCGGGAUAGCGGCGGGAAACUGCCAUUAAUACCGGAUAAUGUCCCCGGACCAAAGGUGUGAUUCCUCCUGGGGAGGGGCCUGCGUCCUAUCAGCUAGUUGGCAGGGUAAUGGCCUACCAAGGCAUUGACGGGUAGCGGGUGUGAGAGCACGACCCGCCUCACUGGGACUGAGACACUGCCCAGACACCUACGGGUGGCUGCAGUCGAGAAUCUUCCGCAAUGGGCGAAAGCCUGACGGAGCGACGCCGCGUGCGGGAUGAAGGCCUUCGGGUUGUAAACCGCUGUCAGUGGGGAGGAAAUGCAUGGGGGUUCUCCCCUGUGUUUGACCGAUCCGCAGAGGAAGCACAGGCUAAGUUCGUGCCAGCAGCCGCGGUAACACGAACUGUGCAAACGUUAUUCGGAAUUACUGGGCUUAAAGAGUUCGUAGGCGGCCUGUUAAGUCGGGUGUGAAAUCCCUCGUCUCAACCGAGGAAUUGCACUCGAAACUGGCGGGCUUGAGUGAGAUAGAGGUGAGCGGAACUGAUGGUGGAGCGGUGAAAUGCGUUGAUAUCAUCAGGAACACCGGUUGCGAAGGCGGCUCACUGGGUCUUGACUGACGCUGAGGAACGAAAGCUAGGGGAGCGAACGGGAUUAGAUACCCCGGUAGUCCUAGCUGUAAACGAUGAGCACUGGACUGAGCGGACCUCCACAUCCGCCCGGUCGUAGCGAAAGCGUUAAGUGCUCCGCCUGGGGAGUAUGGUCGCAAGG